CCCUUAGAUGUCCUGGGCCGCACGCGCGCUACACUGAACGGAUCAGUGCGUUUUCCCUUCCCGAGAGGGACGGGUAACCUGCUGAACCCCGUUCGUGGUAGGGAUCGGGGCUUGCAAUUAUUCCCCGUGAACCAGGAAUGCCCAGUAAGUGCAAGUCAUAAGCUUGCGUUGAUUACGUCCCUGCCCUUUGUACACACCGCCCGUCGCUACUACCGAUUGAGCAAUCCGGUGAAUACUUCGGACCGCUACGCAGGCUGGUUCCCAGUCUGUGUUCUGGAAAGUCGAGUAAACCUUAUUGCUUAGAGGAAGGAGAAGUCGUAACA
rnacentral:rRNA from 1 species